GAUAAGGUGGCUGAGGUUAAAGGCGUUGGAUUGUAAAUCUGAGUAGAAGUUGUACUUUCUUAUCA
rnacentral:tRNA from 1 species